UGGCAACUCUUCGUUCCACUUUUCAUCGAAUGUUUUCAAAACGCAGGAGUAAACAUUUACGUGACUGUGACUUCGUUUGUUUUUAUUUCGUUCGGAAAAAUAUUAUAUCUGGGAAAGUGGACAUUAAAAAUGCGUUACUCAGUGAAGGCUGCCUGAAUACGAGUGAAACGUUUUUACAAACGCGUUCAGAAACGUUUUUACAGACGCGCUGGGUCGAUUUUUGCGGAGAUGACAAACUAGUUCCGAAUAAUGGUUCCCGUAUCUGUGGAGAUUAUUUUGAUACAAAUACAUCGUUACAUUUCAACCGGAAAGGAAACCUCGUGAGAAACCGUAAUGCCUUCUCCACUAUUAAGCCGGUAGUUGACUCAGAAGAUUAAGUCCAUCAUCAACACGAAGCGCAGAUUGCUUCACCGUUACAUUAAUCACCAGCACUAGCGGAUCAUAAUUACGUGGAUUUCAUUUGGCCAGCUUCAUUAGCAAAGCUGUUUUCACCGACGUUAGAAAAAAAAACGUCCCCAAAACAUUUCACUAUUGAUAUGUAUGUAUGUAUCAAAACUCGCCAAUGUCGAAUUUGGCUCCCACAUUAAAAUCUUGGAGUGAACUAAGCGUUAUUCGUAGGUUAUGAUAUUAUGUCAAGUUCUGAUGCCUUGCAAUAUGAGAUGCUCUUUCAGAAAUGCAAUGGUCGAUUAAACAAUUGACGGAAAAAUGUAAUUCGUUCAUCUUAAAAGUUUAAUUAUUUUUGCCUUUGAUAACAAUACCUUUUUUAUAGUGUUGAUUAUCAUAAGAAAAAUAACACUCCUGAUCGUUGGAUCUUUUUUGACAUUUCAAUUGGAUCUUUUUUGACAGCCGUUUUGAUUCAGUCCGCACUACCUAGGUUAUUGAAAUAUUCAGAUAGUUCUUACACUGGAGAAAUAGUUAAGUAAAAGCAGCUACCAAAUCUUUAGUAGCCAAAACAUUGGUAGAAUAUACAAAUGCUUUGUAAAUAUUACCAAAAUUGCGUAAAAGCGAUGUCAGACGCAAUGAACGUUCCUACCAGAGAUUCGUAGAUUUUACUUCAUACCAUUAGUAACUUUGUUUCUUUGUCAUACCUAACAUCUGUGAUGUGCGCACUUUGCAAUCGCUAUUUCUAUUUUGGAGAUGAAGCGAUUCGGAGAGACACGAGAGAACAAAAUGCGGAUGAAAUGGGCUGGUGCUACCGACAUUCCCUAAAUAAUGCAAACUAGAGCGAUGCAGCAGGAAGAGGAACGGGAACUUUCCUCGUGUACGCUGCUCAUAGAAUAAGUUAUAUAUUAUUAUUAUUAUGUAUUCUAAAUAU